GCGCCCAUGGUGAAACUGGCAGACGCAACCGGUUUAAGCCCGGUUUCCAUUGGAGUGAAGGUUCGAAUCCUUCUGGGCGCA
rnacentral:tRNA from 1 species